AAAAACUACAUAGUAGGAAAUUACUAGCACGUAAAAAUAAAAAGUGUCAUCUCUUUUUUCACUCGUUUACAUUCCUUCCUUUUUAUCCUUUUUACCUUCCUAUUUUUCCCGCCGUUUUCUUAAAGCUUAUAUCAAUACUUUUGUUUCCACCUGCGUUCCCAGGAAAUGAUCAUAUUCUUCCCUCCUGGCGUCGUUUCUCUCCAGCAAAACAAGCCAGGGUAAUUGGGUCACACGUUUCUUCAAGUAGUAGCAGUAGUAGCAUAAACGGGGACACUUUGGACCAGACUGGAACACUUGAGGGCAUGAUAAAAGGACCAGACAGAACAAGGAAUCCGAUUUAGAGGACUGAUGCAUGGUCCAUGCGUAGCUUUGGUGUCUGGACAUUGUAAUUCCAUCACCCGACACAAACAUAAGCACACCUGAUCUAAUGUAUUAUUUUUGAUUGAAUUGUGGAAAACAAAUUCUGUUUUUCUAGCCAUUGAAAAGUCAGUGAAUUGUUCCAAUCCGAGGAGAAGCCAUAGCGCAAGGUUUGAACCCUCUCUGCCUUUGGUAAGCCAAGGAUGGAUUGUUAAUCGAAAUGGCAAAUCUUAUCAGAGCGGAUCAAAUGUAGCCGGUGGUAAAUUUUGGCAGCUCUUAUUUUGCAUUUAAGGGUAUACUAGAGACUGAUUAACCACAGAUUGUGGGGUGGUUGCAAGCAAAGGUAGGAAGCCAAACUAACAUCACGUUACUUGUGCUAUCGA